GGCAUGGUGCAGUGGUUUGAAGCUGGACUAGGACUCCAGGGGACCAGGGUUCAAAUCCCCAAUCAGCCA